rnacentral:misc_RNA from 1 species
GGGUAAUGCUGGACAAAGACCUACGGGAUAAGACAUGCCAGUCAUCAUUCAAGCAAUUGUGCCUGUUUACCGAAGUUACAUGCAGAACUAUGGACCAUUGGUUGAACAAGAAGGAAGUGGCAAAUAUGUGAAAUAUACAGCUCAAUCUUUAGAAAAAGUGUUGAACGGUCUGUUUCAUUCAAAACCUGUGAAACAUGGUAGUUUUAAAGUUCGACAUCCUAGUGGAAAAUUCAGCAAUGUUGUAACAGAUCAGAAUCAGACCUCUCCUACUGUUAAGUAAUCGUUAGAUUAUUAUCAUUAAGGCAACAGUUAAACUUGAC